AUCCAGCUGACAAAUCCCAAAUAGGAUGAAACGCGUGUCAAACUAGAU
rnacentral:hammerhead_ribozyme from 1 species